UACGGAGGAGGCAAGCGUUAUCCGGAAUUAUUGGGCGUAAAGCGUCCGCGGGUGGCACCUCAAGUCUGCUGUCAAAGACCGGGGCUUAACCCCAGAAAGGCAGUGGAAACUGAAGUGCUAGAGUGCAGUAGGGGUAGAGGGAAUUCCCGGUGUAGCGGUGAAAUGCGUAGAGAUCGGGAAGAACAUCGGUGGCGAAAGCGCUCUGCUGGACUGCAACUGACACUCAGGGACGAAAGCUAGGGGAGCGAAUGGG
rnacentral:rRNA from 1 species